rnacentral:rRNA from 1 species
UACAGAGGUGGCAAGCGUUAUCCGGAAUUACUGGGCGUAAAGCGCACGCAGGCGGUCUUUUAAGUUUGACGUGAAAGCUCCCGGCUUAACUGGGAGAGGUCGUUGAAUACUGGAAGACUUGAGGCAAUGAGAGGGGUGUAGAAUUCCCGGUGUAGUGGUGGAAUGCGUAGAUAUCGGGAGGAACACCAGUGGCGCAAGCGGCCGCCUGGCACUGACCUGACACUGAGCCACGACGGCGUGGGGAGCAAACGGGG